rnacentral:rRNA from 1 species
UUAAAACAAAUACGAGGAAAAGAAACUAACAAGGAUUCCCCUAGUAACGGCGAGUGAAGCGGGAAGAGCUCAAAUUUGAAAUCUGGUAGCCUUCGGCUGCCCGAGUUGUAAUCUAGAGAAGUGUUUUCCGUGCCGGCCCAUGUACAAGUCCCUUGGAACAGGGCGUCAUAGAGGGUGAGAAUCCCGUCCUUGACAUGGACCCCCGGUGCUUUGUGAUACACUUUCAACGAGUCGAGUUGUUUGGGAAUGCAGCUCAAAAUGGGUGGUGAAUUCCAUCUAAAGCUAAAUAUUGGCGAGAGACCGAUAGCGAACAAGUACCGUGAGGGAAAGAUGAAAAGCACUUUGGAAAGAGAGUUAAACAGUACGUGAAAUUGUUGAAAGGGAAACGAUUGAAGUCAGUCAUGCUCUUUGGAUUCAGCCGUUCUGCGGUGUAUUUCCAUUGAGUGGGGUCAACAUCAGUUUUGACCGCUGGAUAAAGGCACUAGGAAGGUAGCACUCUCGGGUGAACUUAUAGCCUAGCGUCAUAUACAGUGGUUGGGACUGAGGAACGCAGCAUGCCUUUAUGGCCGGGAUUCGUCCACGUACAUGCUUAGGAUGUUGACAUAAUGGCUUUAAACGACCCGUCUAAAAAACCCGGGG